UACGAAGGGGGCUAGCGUUGCUCGGAAUUACUGGGCGUAAAGCGCACGUAGGCGGUUUCUUAAGUCGGGGGUGAAAUCCUGGAGCUCAACUCCAGAACUGCCUUCGAUACUGAGAGACUUGAGUCCGGGGAGAGGUGAGUGGAACUGCGAGUGUAGAGGUGAAAUUCGUAGAUAUUCGCAAGAACACCAGUGGCGAAGGCGGCUCACUGGCCCGGUACUGACGCUGAGGUGGCGAAAGCGUGGGGAGCAAACAGG
rnacentral:rRNA from 1 species